rnacentral:tRNA from 1 species
GGGCGCUUAGCUCAGAGGGAGAGCACCUCCUUGACGCGGAGGGGGUCAUAGGUUCAAGUCCUAUAGCGCCCACCA